GACGGAUAGCAACCACGUGAUCAGUAAAAAUUGUGUAUUUUCACGUGAAUUCAUUUUCCGGAAUUCCUUACUCCGUCAUAGAAUAGUCGAAAAACAAAAAGGGGUUCCGAAAGUGUUUUGUUGCUGUGACUGACUCGCCUAGAGAAAAUAUGCACAUACCACAUAAGUAUACGUCAAUAUCUGUAAUAAUGGUAGAUCAAAUGUUUCAUCUGUGUGAAACUUUUUGCUAAUCGAAAUGUUAAACCAACCACCAAUCCAUGUACAUAGAUGCGCUACGUAAACAAAGUUGUUGGUUGAUACAUCGUGAUGUCCGAGUGCAGCAUGCUGCGAGAUUAAAUACUGUUUAUACAGUCAUUGAGAGGCUAAACAAAGUUUCUUGCAAGAAGAGGAAGUUGGUGGAUGCAUUCAACUUGGACAACGAAAUCAUAGUUUCGUUUGGCAUCAGCCUGAGGACCAAGGGAGGUUAGAUAGGACCAGUGCCGGUUGAAGUGUAUUUCGAGUCAACAAGUAUAACAGCAAGAGAGGUACUCCAUUUACAGUGAUGAUGACAUAUCCCCUGGACCCCCACAACUCCACAAAUUUAAAAAUGUUUGAUCAAGUUCCGAAGAUUAAAGAACUACUGCAAAAUUUGGGACUUGGAUGAAAAACAUUAAUUCACUUAUAUGAGCUCAGAGCAGUGGAUGUUGUACAACAUACUUUAAACUAGAUUGUGAAUUUAAGGGAAAACAAGUACAUGUACUCGUGUAUUACAUGUACAUGCCUUUUGAAAGACAAUAAUAUUGCAUAGAUGUAAAGGAAAUUUCAAUGUUGAUUAUUCUUUUUUAAAUAUAUUAGUAAAAAAUGUGAACAUGAUAGAAUAUCAAUUUUAUAACUUCAAUCAAUGUGUUUGAAUUUUCCUUGUAAUUCAAAAUUUAGUUGAAACAUACAUCAUUGAUACAUUAAUGUAUAUCAAAUUUUUAGAAAAGUUUCAUAAUGGAACUAAUUCACCCCCCCCCCCCUUUA